CUUACACAUGCAAGUCGAACGGUAGAGUAGCAAUACUCGAGAGUGGCGAACGGGUGAGUAAUAUAUCGGAACGUGCCCAGUCGUGGGGGAUAACGUAGAGAAAUUUACGCUAAUACCGCAUACGAUCUAAGGAUGAAAGCGGGGGAUCGCAAGACCUCGCGCGAUUGGAGCGGCUGAUAUCAGAUUAGGUUGUUGGUGAGGUAAAAGCUCACCAAGCCGACGAUCUGUAGCUGGUUUGAGAGAACGACCAGCCACACUGGGACUGAGACACGGCCCAGACUCCUACGGGAGGCAGCAGUGGGGAAUUUUGGACAAUGGGCGAAAGCCUGAUCCAGCAAUGCCGCGUGCAGGAAGAAGGCCUUCGGGUUGUAAGCUGCUUUUGUACGGAACGAAACGGUCUGCUUUAAUACAGUGGGCUAAUGACGGUACCGUAAGAAUAAGCACCGGCUAACUACGUGCCAGCAGCCGCGGUAAUACGUAGGGUGCGAGCGUUAAUCGGAAUUACUGGGCGUAAAGCGUGCGCAGGCGGUUAUAUAAGACAGUUGUGAAAUCCCCGGGCUCAACCUGGGAAUUGCAUCUGUGACUGUAUAGCUAGAGUACGGUAGAGGGGGAUGGAAUUCCGCGUGUAGCAGUGAAAUGCGUAGAUAUGCGGAGGAACACCGAUGGCGAAGGCAAUCCCCUGGACCUGUACUGACGCUCAUGCACGAAAGCGUGGGGAGCAAACAGG
rnacentral:rRNA from 1 species